AAAGGUGUGGAUGAAAGUCUUAACUUACCUUAACUACGUCAGCUAAUAGUGUAUGCAAGUCAGUCAAACGAAGGGCUCAAGUGAAAGAAAGUAUCCUUUAUUAAUGCCCGUGGGAAAAUUAUUCUCAGGAUUCGACGAAUCCGACAUAUGCUGCCGUAAAGGUGCUCGGAGAUUCAACCGCCAACCCCGUCUGCUCCAUGCGCCACAGAAGCUGUAAAAAGGUGGAGAUGCCGGGGAUUGAACCCGGGGCCUCAUACAUGCAAAGCAUGCGCUCUACCACUGAGCUACAUCCCCUGAUGACAUGUCAGCGGGAAGAUCUAUGUAUAUAAACUCUCUCUCCAGUCUAUGAUGUUAUAUGGCGUUAUCCCGUAGUGCUGUGGGUUAGCUAACUUGUUGGUUCCGCUUGUUUGCUAAUAUGAAUCUGCUGUCAAGCUAAAUGCUAUUUGCUUUAACGAGCUCCCAGCUCUGUAAUAUUCUAGUAAGAUUAGCGAGUUCUUAACUUGUUCUUAAGUUGGUAGUAAGCGCGUUCACACGCUGCAAAAGAGACUCGAAGCCAUCGAUCACUGGGGAGCACGGACUGAUCCGCUUCUUGCUGAAGCCCUCCAGCUGUUCUCAACAUUUCACUGACGCCUCGACUGCUCGGAGGUUUCAAACCUGUUUUACAAAGCUGAAGUCACGAGGCACGCGGCCUCACCUGCUCACCCUUUCUGCUUACUGUCAAGUUGAGGCUGAAUCCUGUUUCCCAUGAGCCGUCUCGUCGUCGCUGCAAGGCUUCCCGGUAAAAUGGAAACAAGCACCUUGAGCCCGGAUCGUCUGCAGGGAUCAGACGGCCCUCCGGACGUCGCAGUGACGAGAUUUGGCCCACGUGAAGUUUGGAGGAUUUCGGUGGCCGUCGCCGUCGGCGCUCGGUUCUCUCCCGGGGCGUUUGUGGCUCGGUACUUGGCUGCCGUCGGUGUCGGGUCCUCAUGAGGAUGGAAGUGGAAGGCAAAUGUGCAGUUAGGCCUCUCCAAGCUUUUCUCAAGAAGAACUCCACUGGAUCUUCGUCGAAUCGUCUGUGCAUCCGUGCCGCUGUGACCAAACAUAUUGAUCUAUAAAUGACCAUUUC
ensembl:lncRNA